AGUGGUAAAGUGCUAGCCUUGAGCAAAAGAAGCUCAAGGACAGUGCCCAAGCCUUGAGUUCAAGCCCCAGGACCAGCCCCCCCACCCACCCAAAAAAAAAUUCUUAAGAAGGUACCAACAAGUUUGAUUAUACAAACCUUUAAUCAGGAUCUGUUGGUUCACACCUGUUAAUAUCCUAGCUAAUCAGGAGGCUGAGAGAUUUGAGGAUCGUGGUUCAAAGACAAUCCUGGCAGAGAAGUUCCUGUGACACUUUUCAUCUCCAAUUAACACUCAAAAACCCGAAGUGGGGCUGUUGCUCAAAGUGGUAGAAUGCUAGCCUUGAGAAAAGGAGCUCAGGAACAGCACCCAGGCCCUGAGUUCAAGCUUCAUGUUCAACCAAAAAAGAGAUAAAAAUGAACAGAAAUUCUAAAAUAAAAUAAAGUCCCAUGCAAAUAAUUUUCUAUGGCACAAAUCCAUAACCCUAAUACUAGGGAACCUAAGGGAGAAAGAUGGGAAAGUUUAAGGGUAGGCCUGGUUUACAAAUCAAGGGGUGGGGGGUGUAAAAUAUGUUUUGGAGUAAUAUUGAAGGGGGGGAAGGGGGUUACAAAUACUACGCACACACUCUACCACUGAACCACCUACCUACAACCCACUAAUGCUUACUUUUUUGCAUAUUAACUUUCAUGAGAACAUUAAUGCUUUUCUUUCCUACAAGCUAACUAUUCUCAAUCAUAAAUUCUUUAUUAUAACAUAAAUAAAAUAUAAAUUCUCUAUUAAUUAAAGUAUAAAGUGGUUUAUACCUGAAAUUUCAGCUACUUGGGAAGCAGAGAUCAGGAAAGCACUCCAUAGCUGGGUAUUGUGGCACACAACUAUCAUUUCGGCUACACAGGAAGAAUCUGUCCAGGCACUCCUGAGCAUAAACACAAGAUCCUACCUCAAAAAUAACUAAAGCAGCCAGGUGCCAGUGUGUUCCUGUCAUCUCAGCUGCAUAGAAGGCUGAAAUCAGGGAAGUUGCAGUUCCAGGACAGCCCAAGAAAAGUUUUAAGAUUCCAUUUCAAAAGAAGGUGGAUGUAAUGACAAGCACCUAUUCCUCAACUACAUCAGGAAACCUAAAAUAGGUGGAUCCAAGAUACAAGUAUUCACCCCAGCUGGAAGCCCCAACCUCAAAAAUAACGAGUUCAGCUGGGCAUUGGUGGCUCAUGUCUGUUAUCCUAGCUACUCCAGUGUCUGAGAUCUGAGUAUUGCAGUUCAAAGCUAGCCUAGGCAGGAAAGUCAAUGAGACUUUUUAUCUCCUCCAAUAACUACCAAAAAUUAUAAGCUGAGGUGUGGCUCAAGUGGUAGAGCACUUGACGAGUGCUCAGGGAUAGUGCCCAGACCCUGAGUUCAAACUCCAGGAUUAACAACAACGACAACAAAAAAGUCAAGGGGGUUCACUAGCAGAGUCACUGCCUAGUUUAUUUAUUAAUACAAUGUAUCAGAGAAAAAAGUUUAAAACACCAUGCCUCUAUGAAACACAACAUGUAGAAAGAGAAACAGUCUUGAAUAUUUGAAAAUGAGGUUGAAGUUAAAAGUUCUAAGAACUAGCCAAUAUUGUUUACAUUUUACCACAAACAUUAUCCACCCAUACCUUCACAGUGGA